rnacentral:lncRNA from 1 species
UCUCUUCUUUUCCCUCUUCCGCGGCUUACGCCUCCACUGCCUCCACUGGUGACUGGACCACUGCUCCUGCCGGCUGCCUCUGCCGCCCGCCUCCGCCACUGCUCACUCUCUUACAGGUUCUGUGAUAUACUGAUAUUCAUUGUUAUUGUUAUUUUCCCCCUUUUUAUUUAUUUUUUUAUUCAGUGGUCGAGUACUCGAGUGUGGUAACAUACUAACAUGGGCUAUUUAUUUUUCCUGACUUCCGUUUCUAUAUAUAAUAACUCCCAGUUUGGGAUUAUAUCCGGGAAAAAAAAUAGACUCUCAAUUUGGGAUUCUAUAUUAAUCUUUUAGUAAUUUAGUUUUCAAAAUUGUUUGUGUUGGAGUAAUAUUUAAUUAUUAUUUAAUUUCCGUUUUCUUAAAUCCUAAGAGAAUUGAUGAAUGAUAAAAUUAUUGUGAUUUAUGAAAUGUUUAAAUUGAUGAAUUAUUGAUUAGUAAUUGAUGUUUUUAUUUAUACUAGAUUAUGGAUAAAUACUUGAUUAAGCGAGAAAGAACUGUUAAUUCUUCUAAUAAUCAAUUACCAAGUUCCGAAGCAAGUGGUGAUAUUAAUAAUUCACGUGUGGAGUUCAAUCCAAAUGAUAUUGUUAGUGAUCUGGGGUUACGUAAAUCAAUUGAAGACUUUGCUAUUGUGAUUAGAGAUCAAGUUCGAAGAGAGUAUUUGACUAGAGGUCCAUGUCAACCAAUUGCCCAUAAUUAUCCCCCAAAAUACUUUUCUAAUGUGAAGAGAAGCUUUCGGCCCGCUUGGUUUAAAAAUUUUGAAUGGUUGGAGUAUAGCAUUUUCAAAGGAUGCUUGCUAUUGCUUUUGCUGCUAUCUAUUUGGCAAUUCAAACAGAGUAGAUGCUUUUACAUAAAAAAGGUUCAGCAAUUGGAAAAAGGCAAUUGAAAAAUUUCAAGAACAUGUGGGUGCUUCGAAUAGUGCUCAGAAUGAUGCUAGAAUACAACUUCAAGAUUUUAAAAAUCAAAAGCAGAGUGUGUCACAUAUACUACUAGCACAAGGGCAAGAGAUGAAGGUUGCUUAUCGCACCCGUUUAACGGUGACUUUGGAUGUCAUACGCCUUCUUUUGAAGCAAGGUUUGCCUUUUCGUGGACAUGAUGAGUCAUCGACUUCAUCAAAUAAGGGAAAUUUUCUUGAGUUUUUUGAGUGGUACAACCUACAAAAUGAAGAGGUAGGCAAGGUAUUUAAUUGGAAUGCUCCUAGAAACAAUCAAAUGACUUCUCCAAAAAUUCAAAAAGAACUAACAAGUGCUUGUGCCGUGGAAACUACACUUGCCAUCAUCAAUGAUAUUGAGGACAACAUAUUUUCUAUUAUGAUUGAUGAGUCUCGAGAUGUUUCAAUAAAGGAGCAAAUGGGAGUUGUUUUGAGAUAUGUAAACAACCGUGGAGAUGUGAUUGAAAGGUUUGGUGUGGUACAUGUGCCUGACACUUCAUCUAUUUCUUUGAAGAAUGCUAUUGAUGAAUUGUAUGCAAAGCAUAAAUUGUCAUUAUCGAGGUUGAGAGGUCAAAGAUAUGAUGGGGCUUCAAAUAUGCGAGGCGAGUUCAAUGAAUUGAAGGCUCUUAUUUUAAAAGAAAAUCCAUAUGCAAGGUACGUCCAUUGUUUUUCUCACCAACUCCAAUUAGUUGUUGUUGCUGUUUCCAAGAGUAGCCGUAUUGUGAGUGAUUUUUUUCAAUAUGUUACUAUGAUUGUGAAUGUGGCUGGAGCAUCAUGUAAAAUGAAAGAUAAACUUAGACAGCUUGAACAUGAUAGGAUCGUGGAGUGUUUAGAAAAGGGAGAAAUAGUUAGUGGUAAAGGAAAAAAAAUCAAGAAAUCAGUUUAAGACGGCCAGGAGAUACUCGUUGGGGGUCACAUUACAUAAAAAUAAUCCGUCUUAUGUCUAUGUGGACUUCCGUAUUACAAGUGUUUGAAAAUGUGCAUGAUGAUGGUGCUUCUGAUGAUAAUAACGACAUAGCCAUAAGUUUGAUUGAUAAGAUGGAGAAUUAUAAAUUUGUAUUUGUGAUGCAUUUGAUGAAAUAUAUAUUGAGAAUCAUAAAUGAUUUGUCACUAGCCUUGCAACAAAAAGAUCAAAACAUUGUACAUGCUGUGAGAUUGGUUGGGGUAAUGAAAGCUUGACUACAAGAUUUUAGGGAGGUGGAAUGGGAGAAUUUUUUGUAGGAAGUAAAUAUAUUUUGUGAGAAGAACGCGAUCCCAAUAAUUAAUAUGGAAGACAACAUGAGAUCCCGCGGUCGUAGCAGGCGCAAUGGACAAAUUAUUACUAAUUUUCAUCAUUAUCGUGUUGAGAUUUUUUGUCAGAUAUAAUCUCUAUAAAUAUUUUUUCAUUAUUCCUAUCUAAAUAUUUAUCUUUUUUUAUUUUUCAUUAUUGCAAUGUAGGUUGUUGAUUCAAUUAUUCAAGAGAUGAACAAUCGUUUUUCAAGCAAGCACAAAGUUACUUUUAUGCAUAUCAUGCCUUGAUCCAAGGGAUUCGUUCUCUCAAUCCAGAAGACUUCUCAUUGACUGAUCGCAUGAUACUUAGGGAUCAACUUGAAAAUUACAUUUAUUGUGACGCCCCCAAAAUAGGUCCAUUCCAUCCAACCCAUUCUGAGUCGCCAAAUACAUGGUACAGAAAUAACUACAACUUUAUUUUUACAACAUAUAAACUGUGAGUUUAAAUACAGAUAUUGCCAUCUAGACAAUAUCCACACGCAAAUAAAUCCCCAUCAUAAUUAUUGAUACAUUAUUUUACAAAAAUGGUGAGGACUACUAAACAACUCUCUCUAGAACCUUCAUUCCAUACCCCGACUCGUACUCGCUAUAUUCUCGCCUCCUGAGAAGAAAAAUGGAACAAAAAGGAAAAGGGUGAGCUCAACUAGCCCAGUAAAGAAUAUUAUGACUAAGAUAAUAUACAACAAAUUAUCGUUAGUCUUCAACAGGGAAAAAUCUAAUAGAAUACAAUAGACAACAAGUUUUAAAUCAAUAUUCGCAGCGGAAAUAAUAAUUCAUUAGAAGAGUUAAGUAGAGAAUGCAAACUACUAUCUUCUAUGUAUGAAUUUAAAAGUUCAUCGUCUAUCUUUUAUCCCUGUAACAUCAAUCAAUAUAUAUCUGGAAUCAAAUAUUCAUCUUUGCACUACAGGCCAAAGAUAUUCAUCAGUUGGUCAUGUUCAUCUAAACACCUGUUCAUCUUUGCACUACGGGCCAAAGAUAUUCAUCAGAAAUCAUUCAUCUUUGCACUACAGGCCAAAGAUAUUCAAUAAUAUCAUCAUUUAAGACUGAGGAUGAUAAAAAAUUUUUUUUAAAGAAACGAAUCCAGUGAAACAAAAUGACAAGGAUUAAGGAUUAAGGAUUCGUACUUUGUUUUAUCCACGUCCAAAAAUACCUCAAAAAUAAUCAUAGUGGUGUAAAAUUCAAGAAUGAUCAAAACAUGGAUACAAUCAAAGCUAGUAUCCACAAUAGAUAUUUUGGACGAAAAGAAAAAUUUUCAUUUUUCGAUGAAUAGUGCCGUAUUCGUGAAUAGUACCGUAUACGUGAAUAGUGCCGUAUACGUGAAUAGUAACUCCGACACCAAAAGUUCCAAAUUUGAUAAAAACUUCAGAUCAAUAUUUCAGCAUAAUGAUAUUGAAGAAAUAAUAUCAUUACGAAAAAAAAUAAUAUCCCUUACCUCGGAAAGACAGUACUUCUAACUGGAAUACUGGAUAUAGGCUAUAACUUGAACUUUCACCGUAUAGCAAUACUCAAAGUAUACUCAAAAUACUCACAAGAAUACGCUCGAUAAUAUAGAGAGAGAAAACUUCAGUUUCUGGUGUGAUUUUCAAUUCUAACCUAAGCACCUAUUUAUAGGAAAUUGCUUAGAACACCAAAGCAGAAAAUUUAAUAUAAUAUUAAUAUAUAUAAAAAUAUUAUACGUAUUCCUUGAAAUCUUAAUCUCAGCAAUUCACACAUGCCAACCUUCUAGAAAAAAAUAAAAAAAACGUUUUUCUAAUUUAAAAUAAUUUAAACUUCCAAAAAUCAAUUAUUUCGGAGCUUCGGAACUUCAAUAAUUCAUAAUAAAUAGCCCUUUUAUCAGAAAAUUCGAAUCUCGCGAGUUUUUAUAGGAAAUUCAAUUCUCUACAACUUUGCAGAAGAAAGUUUUUCCAAAUUCCAAACAGAAAUUGACCGAAAUCCACAAACGGGCGAUUUUAGAGGCUAUAAUCAAAUUUCAGUCAAUAAAUGGGGUCCACCGACAUGUUUAACAUGUUUUAAACAUUUAUUGCAACAAAAAUACUCUUCCUCCUCGUAUACUCAUAUAUCCCACAUUCGUUGUAAAAAUAUCACCAUUAUUAUAUUAUUAAAAUAUAAUAAUAUAUAUAUUUAAAUGAAUUAUUUUAUCAGAAAAAGAUAAAAUUUCAAUUUUCAACAAUUGUCACAUUAAAAAUUUUCUCCAUCUAUAUCCACAUAAAAUCAAUAUUUUCCUCAUCAUAUGAAUCAAUAAUUAAUUAUUCACAAAUAAUAUUACAGAAUCACAAUAUUGACAACCAGGCAGUUCCCAGGAAAGAGGGGGCUUUCCAAUAAGAAUUUCUCCUUACUGGCGCGCAAUUAGGUGACCAAACCUCUCCUUAGACAGAACUUUCUAGACAUUGCCAAUAAUGUUAUCUAAUAAUAUUAUUCAGAUAAUAUGAAUUAUUGCUUCGAUAAUGAAAAAUACUGUGUAAUGACAAUUAUUGAAACAACAGCAAUAUAAAAUAUCAACGCAGCAAUUAUUGAAUCAAUAAAAUAAAAUACUGAACAGUAAUUACUGUAACCAUUAUUGAGUAGUGCCUUCUUACGUAAGAAUCAAUAAUUGGUGCAAUACCGUGUGCUACUGUGCAAUAACGCGUAUUACUGUGUUUUAACCACCGGGUAUUCCAACAGUGUAAACGGUAACAACUACGCCGUUAUUUUUAAACAACUUAUUUUUGUCGUUUUCUUCCUCCAAUCGCUUUCCGUUAUGGGGCCCACACAUGGCUGCGCCGUCGUACGAAUAUUCCCCGACAGUACGAAUAUUCCACGACCAAACGAAUAUUCUCCGACAAUAAUGAAUAUUAUAUCACCACUUGCUUAUUUAAAAUAUUUGCGCAUUUUACCCAUAACUAACCACAUUAAUCAAAUCCACCCUUACUAUUUCAAAAUGAUAACUAAUGGAAAUUCCUUUUUAUUUAAAAAAAUUUCGGGGUCUUACAUUUAUGAUAUGCGAUGCGAUAGUCAAUUUUUUGGGAUCGAAAAUUUGGGUUUAGAAAGUCUUGCUAAGAAGCUGAUUGAAACAAGAAGACAUAUGACUUUUAUAUUGGUAUAUCGAUUGAUCGAGUUGGCUUUGGUUUUACUAGUUGCAACUGCUACUGUUGAAAGAGUAUUCUCUGCAAUGAAAAUUAUCAAGAUUGACUUCCGUAACAAAAUGGGAGACGAGUGGAUGAAUGACAGUCUGGUAGUUUAUAUUGAGAAGGAUAUUUUUUCAACAAUUGAAAACGAACAAAUUUUGAGACGUUUUCAAACUAUGCAGACUCGCAGGAUACAGUUGUCUGCUCUCACUUGUACAAUCGAAAGAAGCUUUUCAAGCGUCAAUAAAUAAAUUUUUUUAUUAAUGUAUUUUGACCCUCCUUAAAAUAAGUUCUGGUUCCGCCACCGAGUAUGAGCCAAAUGCCCAGUACAGAUAAAGAUAUACAAAAAAUACAUAACUUACAAAUAAAACUAACUGAACAGAAUAUGAAAGAUAACCUCAAAUAUAAGUAUUAACGAUAACAAAUUCUUCGAAGUCUGAACAAGAUAUAACUGAAUCUAACAGUAACGAACCAAAACAGAAGACUGAAUUUAAAAUGACAAGUGGUUAUUUCAUGCCAAAUUCAGGACAAAAUAGAAAUUAAUUCAUGUGGGCCGCCUUUCAAGUCUUGUAAUAAUCUAAUGUAGCAAUUAAGAAGCAACUUGCCAAGGAACCAUCAACCUAAAGUCACCUCAUAAUCUGGUUAUGUUCCUCAGCAGCCACGUACGGAAUCAUUUAUUCUAAUUCACGCGGCAAGUAUUACAUAUCCAAUCACGUGGGGCUUUCUAAACUCACACAAUUCAGCUACUAGUACUUGCCAAGGAAUGCUAUUCAACACGGGCCUAACAUAUUCAGCAAUUAAAGUUAUGCAGCAGCAAUUAAAGUUAUGCAGCGGCAAUUGGUUUCAUAUUUAAUUUCACGCGGCAAUUAAAGUUAUGCAGCGGCAAUGUGGCACUGUUAAUUUGAACACCGACUUUGUUUUCAGGCCAUUGCAAUUGAAGAAGAUUUCUUGAAUGAAGGUUCUAAGCUUGUAUUUUGCCCAGCUAUUUUAUUAUAUGUUUGGGCUAAAUAGUUUGUGCAUUGGCUUCCUAAUUGUAUUUUCAAGAGAUUUUAAUCUUCGCAUACCCUUUUAUUCUCUUUUUGUUAUGGAUUGUAAAAAGUUAAGUUGAGACAAACCUUUCUUUACAGUAAACAAAUUACAAAAGUAGUAAAGGACGGAAAAAAUAAAUCAGUUGGGUCAAGAAAAACUGAAAAAAAAAAGAUUUUGGGAAGAGUAGAAAAAUGAUUUGUCCACAAGUUAAGGUCACCUAUUUUGCCACUAGCCUAAAAGUAAUAGUCACAUACUUAGAGUGUAAUGCACAGAUCGGUAAACGCACAACAAUCUAACAUCUUUUUAUUAUAUUUUAAUUUAUUAAUUGAACGUACAUAUUUAUUAUUAAAAAAUUAAAUAAUCCCGCAGUAACGCGCGGGUUUGUAUCUAGUAGGUUUCUAUUUCCUUAUAGAAUUCGGGUUAUUUUCUCUGGUAUAAAUAAGAAUUUCAACAAAUGUAAUUCAUAUAAAUAUAAUUUUUUUUUGUGGAACAUCAUCCAUUCUUAGGUUUCUUAGAUAUUCAAUUUUGACUUAUUAUAUAACAAUAAGUACAACCAUUAUCUUCAUGCAAAUAAAAAUUCAUCUAACUUAUAUGUAUUUGUUUACUUUGUUGUCGUUGUAUUUUUAAGCAGCAAGGUGUCACGGCCUUAGAGAUUCCUAAUCCCAACCGUGCGGCCUUAGACAACUAUCAUCCUUUUUAGUUGCUAAGUAAGCCUUACGCCAAGUAAACACCAAGAGAACUUGAAAGGAAGAAUGAAAAUAAGAAAGCUUUAUUAAACAAAAGAGCUUUACAAGUACGCUAGGAGAAUGCUUUUUCCUUUGAUGCCUUGGAUGGCUUGGAUGGAUGGACAAAUGAGACCACCCUCCUAUUUAUAGGCCUUCAUCUCCUAAGGGAAGGUUCUAGAAAUUAAUAUUAUAA